CGGAUCGCGGGGAGCAUCGAGACUCGAGCUGCUCUUCGUCAGACAGAAGAAGAGUUUAUAAGAAAUGCUGGCGAUGGAGAAGCGCGCCAGUGCGCGCGACAGGUGGAUCGCAUGGCAACAGCUCGAGAUCACGUGACCUUAUUAUACGAGGGUAGCUGGUGUCAUCGGCUCAGGUGUACCUGAGUGUGUCUAAGGGAGCAGACACACCUGUGAUAGAGAACGAGAGAUGUACACAACAGUCCUGCUGUCCUCUCUGUUUCUCCUGCAUGUGACCAGCACGCCUCCGUUUCACGGUCACCAUGGGAGGAGAGUGUGUCUUGGAGAUGCCCGGAGUCCUCGUGUACCCUACAGCACAGAGUCGUUCCUUCAACCUGUACACAAACCCUAUAUCACCAUGUGCCAAAACCACCGCCUGUGUAGCACAUACAAAACAAUCUACAGAGUGUCUUAUAGGCAAGUGAGCAAAGCGGUUGCUCAUGUCCACAUGUACUCAGACUGCUGUCCGGGAUGGAGACGCAUGCAUUCACACAACUGUAACCAAGCUGUGUGUGAACAGUCUUGUGCAAAUGGAGGAUCGUGUCUGCGCCCUAACCAAUGUGUGUGUCCAAAAGGAUGGACGGGACGGUACUGCCAGACAGAUGUGGACGAGUGUAAAGAAACUCGCGGCUGCUCACAGAAGUGUGUGAAUACACCGGGGGGGUAUCAGUGUGUGUGUCGGGAGGGAUUCAGUCUGAAUGAAGACGGAAUGACAUGUUCAAGAAUUCCCACGCCCUCCCCCCCGCCCGCCACUCCUCCCACGGGAGACAAUCUCUCAUCCAGCGCUGAUGCUGGUUUGAAAUUGGUGGAGAAUGCAACAGAAGAGGUUCAGAUGCUGAAGAAUAGAGUGGAUCUACUAGAGCAGGUCGGAUGGUCACACGCACGCACGCACGCACGCACGCACACACACACACACACACACACACACACUAACAAAAACGCAUGCACACACGGUCACACACACACUAACAAACACACACGGUCACACAUGUCUGGUUUAUUAUCUCCGUGGGGACAGUCCAUAGGCGUAAUGAUUUUUAUACUGUACAAACUGUAUAUUUUAUCCCCUAAACCUAAAGAUCAUAGAAAACUUUUUGCAUUAUUAGAUUUUCAAAAAAUAUCGUUCUGUAUGAUUUAUAAGCUUUUUUGGCCAUGCGGACCUGUGACAUGAGUCCUCAUGAGUUGGUGUGUAUUCAGGUUUAGGUACUGUGUAUACAUAGAAACAAGGCCACACAUUACACAAACACACACACACACACGCGCACACACACACACGCACACACACACACACGCACGCACACACACACACACACACACACACACACGUUGAAGUACUUCAAACGCUGGUAAACUGUACUUUGUUUACCAGAAAAACGCAUGAGUUCAAAGCCUCUUAAUGGUUAAUAAUUAAUGGUUUCAAUAAAAGCAGUGGUAACACACAUUAAAGGUUCUGCAACACGCAACAGACUCCUACAGGUGUCUGUUAAACCGUACGUAUCUGACGGCCACACAAAGGCUGUGUCUAUCCAGAAGACGCGUGGGCACUGAGGUGCAUCUCUGUAAAAUAAUGAAUUACUUGCACAUAACAAAAUAUAAUUUGUGCAAAAUGUUAAGAAAUGGUUUACAGUGAAUUUAGAACAUUCUAAGGAGCAUUGUUAGGCAUGAUGCAGCGGACCAGCAGCGUUUCUAAUUGAUUAAGUCUGUAGUUUACAGAAGUUAUGUUUAUCGAGCCUACAUUUUUUAACCUUUAUUUUAAUGCCGAACGUUUUUAUAAGCAACUGCCAAAUGUUAGUCAAUAGUAAAAAUACUAUACUGUAGUAUAGCAUGUUAAAUGAUUACUAUUGUAUACUAUAGUAUCCUGUAAUAUUAACAAUAAUAUAUUGAUAAACUGUAGUAAAUACAGUAGUAUACUUCGUUACAUAGUAAGGUUAAAACAUACAGGAAUAAAAAAUAUAUGGUGUAUAGGAAUUUUACAGUUAACUAUAGUAAACUCUGCAGUUUACUAGAAUAUUUUUUGGUUGUUUGUGGAAAAUUGGUACUGGCCAAAAAAUUAUAAAUCAUAUGUGUGCAUAAAUACAUACUAUGUACUGUAUACUACCCCAUUAUGUGAAUUAGUAUGCAGUAAACACCUGAAACACUUUUUAAAAUGCUACAUUGUUGUCACGUGACCUCAUUAUGUAUGUUUGUUUAAGUAAGUGAGUUCAGUUAUCGCCUCAUUUGACAUUUGCAUACAGUGGAUUUGCAUAGCUUACCGAGCACAGUACUGUAUACAUACUACAUACUGUUAAUAAUACGAGUGGUGAACAUACCUAAUGUUGACUCUCAUACCUGCCAUGACUUUCAAUUCUGAAACUUUCUCUCUGUAGAAAUUGGAGAUGGUUUUAGCUCCGUUCACAACUCUCUUCCCGGUGAACGGAGUGGGGGGUGUAGGAGACAGUAACGGCUUCCUGUCCGACCGCACCAACUUCCUGUCACAUUCACUGCAGCAACUAGACCGCAUCGACUCGCUCAGUGAGCAGGUUGGAUUUCUGGAGGAACGGAUCGGAGCCUGUGCCUGCCAAGAAAAUUAAACAAUCACUUAAAGAUGGGCUGGAUCCUCUCACGUGAAAACAACAGCUCGCUCAUUUCCACCAACAAGCUCAGCGCUGAUCAAAGUCUAAACCAUGUAAACACUUUAAAUCCAUCCAAAUGUUGAAGACAGACAUUACUGUUCGGGCAAAGUGGAGUGCAUCCAGUUUUACAGAGUCUGACCUGGUGCUUCGAUUCUUUUUUUUUUUUAAUGUUUUUGUAUUUCAUUUAAUUCUUUUUGUAAGUGCAGCUGUAUCGUUUCUCCUUGUGUAUGUAUGAGCCAGGAGAAUGUAAAUUUAUAUAUUUAUAAUUCCAUGUUUUUCUCCUAGGUAUUGCUGUUGAUGAAAACAAGUGUGCUAAUUUUCAUUUUUAUAGUUGCACUUUUUGUAAUAAAAUUACGUCUAAAAACUUUUAAUGUCUCCAGCAUGUGUGGAAGUUGUAAGAAUUAUUGACAGAAGAA